rnacentral:misc_RNA from 1 species
UGAAUAUGGAUCCAGCAUGAAGGUCAGUACCUUCUAACUGUGCAACCGGCACUUCUCAUGGUGUUCUUUAUCAACUAACUAGUAGUUAGACAUAACUAAUCAUUGUGAACAUAACAAAUCAUUGUGAACCUUUUCAAAGGAUGCAAAUUUUACUGAUAGUUACAAUAAGCUGAUUAAAAUCAGUAAUGAAAAUCAACUCCAUUUACAGUUUCUUAUUUCCAGCUAACUAGAAAGUUUGCAUAUAUUUUGGUUGUUUGUUUGCUUGGUUUUUCCUUAGAAAAUUCAAUCAAGCCACUUGACAUGUUAGUAUGACCUUAUUUCAUGUUAAUGUUCUGUAGGGAAGGCAGCAGACGGGAACGG